AUAUCGACGAUUAAUAUCGCUUAGUUGUUUGUAAACAGAGAAGUUAAUUAUUAAAUUUACUGUUUAAAUUUAUGUAUUACUCUGUCCAGUUUUUCGAGACAAUAAAUGACAAGUAACGCUCUGGAAGAAGGCUAUAAAUUUACAUUUUCAAGGUUUAUCUUUAACUUACUGUAUAAAUAUCUUUUCAGUGUCUUCUGAAUUAAUAUUAGCAUUUUUUUAAAAAUUUAAUUAAUAUGCCUAUUUGUUUUCGGAUGAAUUAAUUGCGAUGAUGAAAAUUUCUAUUGUUUAAUACUAGAUUUCCACAUAUGCUCGAGGUAUUGCGAAAAGUUGAAUGCUCCUCAAGAAGAAGAAGAAGAAGAAGAAAAAACAGACGUGGCGUGAAAACUUACAGAGGAAAAUAUUAUUCUAGAAGUACAGUAAAACCUGCUAAUGUGACCAUCGAAGGGACCUUCUCCUCAAGUGGUCACCUUACACAGGAAAAUAUCAAAAUGUAUUUCUUAGAAGAUAAUGCCGACGACGGAUUUAUACGUUUCCAAGCUUUUUACAUCCAUAAAAAUAAAGAAAAAACUCGGCUAUUGCUCCUUCGGUCAUAAAAAAAGUGUAGAGAUAUAGAAGUUACAGCGGAACAGAUUGUGUAAUAUAGCACUAAACUAGACAGAACCUCACAGACAAGUUAAUUUAAAACGUGUCAACGACUCGAGUUUCCAACACCGAAAACAGGGGAAAAAAUGUAUAUACUGUAUAUAUUAAGAAGACUUUUUACCUAAGUCUCUGUCAAACGGUAAUAAAAUACUAUUUGUUAUUAAUAAAAUGCAAAAGUCACAUUUU